rnacentral:lncRNA from 1 species
GAAAUCGUACCACAACAACAUCAUAAGCUUCUUUAAAGACCGCAUCUAGUGUAACCCGUAGGACAACACACACUGCACCAUACGCAGAGAAGAGCAUUCGAUGGGAGGAAAAUCUUUGCAAUACCAACGAAACUUGUUCAUCCAAUUUACUCCAUAUAAGAAGAAAUAUUAGGAAAAAAGACUGAUUCAAACGAGGGACAAGCGGGAAAUUAAAACCCGCCACAUCCAUAUUCAUCGGGAUAAAGAUGACAAUGAAUUUCUCUUCUACCUGCCACCAAGAAGAGAGAUACACAAACACAACACCAACAUCCGGAAUGAAACCCAUAAGAGAACUGCAUACUGCAGACGCUCGCGCCAAGGCGAUAUAAAUGCUACUAAAGGUCACAAAGGUAGAACCAAAUGAGACUAAGCCCAUCGGUAUAUCACCAGCUAAGAUCAUGAACCUCAAUUCCAACAUCACCCAUACAGAUAGCUGUCUAAACCAUUCUACAGUAGCAGAAUAAGUAGUAAAUAAAGAGCUAAUAUGAGCAUGAAGGACCUUACAAGGACCACUGGUAGGGAGGUCGAAACACCCAAAUAGAGACCUGUAUAUCACAGGAUAAUGGAGCCCGUAAGCGAAAGAAGUGUCAUCGACACACCCAAAUAGAUACCUGUAUAGCACAGGAGAAAGGAGCCCGUAGGCGAAGGAAGUGUCGCUAGCAGACACCGGGAGACCACCACCACCACUUUUCUUUGUUGCCAUCCUAGAUGGAGGCUUUAGAGUUAAGAUAUGGGUAAGAGCUUGAGGAGAUGGUAUGAAUGGCCGAAGAACAGUGAUGAUUCCACAAACACGAACCACAAGAUUUGGAUAUAAACCUUUAGAACCAGAUCUUGUGGCACCAAAGAACACAAAAGAAACAACACCACCACUGGCCAGAUUUGGAAAUCGAGUUUCCAGAUUCUGAAUAUACGCUUGAGAGAGGGUGAAUGGUGUGUCAAAGUGCAGGUGAACAACGAGGCGGAAUGAAGCGUCGGGAGGAUCCGGUGGUUCUGUCCGGGAGAGAGCUUCGAACAGCACCGGAGAAAACAAACACGGCGGCAGAUCUGGUGGUUCGUGCGGAGUGAGAGCUUGCGCAAGAGACGACGAACACGGUUGCGGAGAGAGAGCUUCGAUCGGCACCGGAUAAGGCAGAGACGGCGGCGGAUCAGGAGGAGGGCGGGGUCGCAACGGAGGAGACGAGGGCCGGAGUGACGAAAGACGGGACACCAUCACUAUCGGAGCCAUGGGAGAGCUGUUUCAGAGUGUUGGAGGCUGGAGAACUGGAUUGAAUCUGAAAAGGAAAUCCAUGGAGGAGGCCACUUAGGGAAGAGCGUCAGAGAGAGAAACCUUGCAUACUUUGUUUCUUUAAUAUAACAAAAAAAGCUGUUAGAGAUUAGAGAAGAAUUAAAGACGAUCGACAAUAGAGAUCGGUUGCAACAAUGGAUGAAGAGUAUGAUGUGAUUGUUCUUGGGACUGGUCUCAAGGAGUGUAUCCUUAGUGGUCUCCUCUCUGUCGAUGGCCUCAAGGUUUUCUCCUUCACAUUUCACUUCCAAAUGCAUGCUUAUUUUUGAGCAUCACAUGCAUGCAGUACAUAAAGCAGUUAUCUUUCAAAUAUGUAAACAUCAUCGAUUUAAUAUUUUGUUUGUUUGGGUGUAUAUAAGUACUGCAUAUGGACAGAAACGACUCCUAUGGAGGAGAAUCAUCCUCUCUUAACCUCACUCAGCUAUGGAAGCGUUUCAGGGGAAGUGACACUCCCCAAGAAAAUCUUGGAGCUAUCAGGGAAUACAAUGUCGAUAUGAUCCCAAAGGUAUAUGCAUUUCUAUAAGUGAAUAUGCAAAUAUAUGUAACGUGAAUUGAUAAAUGGAGAUUUAUAUGGUUUCUUGAUCUACAGUUCAUUAUGGCUAAUGGACUCCUUGUUCAAACCCUAAUUCACACCGAUGUCACCAAGUAUCUUAACUUCAAAGCCGUUGAUGGUAGCUUAGCUUCGUCUACAAUAAGGGCAAGGUAGUGAUUCACUCUAUUUUGCCUUUUAAACACAACUGAUUACUAGAGAUUUUGAGCAUCCUUACCAUACGAAAACGUCAGAUCUAUAAAGUCCCAGCCACUGAUGUGGAAGCUCUAAAAUCGCCAUUGAUGGGACUAUUCGAGAAACGACGUGCGAGAAAGUUCUUCAUCUAUGUGCAAGACUAUGAUGAGAAGGAUUCUAAGUCUCACGAAGGACUGGACCUAAGCAAAGUUACCGCUAGAGAGAUCAUCUCGUACGUACAACAUAUUUUCUUCCAGCUCAAAAUCAUUUCAUCAUUGUUUCUUGUGUUACACGCUCUGUCUCUCUGUUUUUUUUCUCCGGAUAGGAAGUAUGGACUUGAAGAUGAUACAAUCGACUUCAUCGGCCAUGCCUUAGCGCUUCACAAUGACGAUGACUACUUGGAUCAACCGGCCAUUGAUUUUGUUAAGAGAAUCAAGGUAAAGCGUUUUUAUUUUCUUCCUGAACGAGGAAUGUUCUGAUCUCAGUGUGCCAUUUUAUUGCUUUGUUAUCUGGUAAAGCUCUACGCGGAAUCAUUGGCUCGAUUCCAAGGAGGAUCUCCUUACAUCUACCCAUUGUAUGGUCUAGGAGAGUUGCCACAGGUCCGUGUUCACCUUAUUCUCAUGAAACAUCUUAGGUUUCCUCUUAAUUUAAGACCAUUUUCUAUGUCUCAAAUCUCUGUUCUGUUCUAAGGCUUUCGCACGUUUGAGCGCUGUGUAUGGAGGGACUUACAUGCUGAACAAGCCUGAAUGCAAGGUUACACACCAUCCAUAAUCUCUUCUUUCUUGGUUUUGUUUAUUAGAAAUCUCAUAUCCAUAAAUGUAAGAUAGCCCUAAACUCAUGAAUAUCUUUUAACAUUGUCCCUAACAGGUUGAGUUUGAUGGCUCCGGAAAAGCUAUCGGUGUCACUUCUGCAGGAGAAACUGCUAAAUGCAAGAAAGUUGUCUGUGAUCCUUCUUACUUGUCUGACAAGGUAACCCUAAACCCAUGUCACCUAAUAAAGGUUGGUUCACGUACGGUCUAGUUACUUUCUAAGAAGGGUUCCUUGUGUUUCAGGUUAAGAAAGUUGGGAAAGUGACUCGAGCGGUGUGUAUAAUGAGCCAUCCAAUCCCAGACACUAAUGAGGCUCACUCGGUCCAAAUCAUUCUUCCUCAGAAGUAGCUCGGCCGCAAAUCAGACAUGUUAGAGAUCAUAAUCAAAUAACACACAUUUUAGUGUAGAAACAUAGUAACCAUUCUGAUUGUGUAGGUACUUAUUCUGUUGCUCACAACGUAGCACCAAAGGGGAAAUACAUUGCUUUUGUCUCUGCAGAAGCUGAGACUGAUAAUCCAGAAGAAGAGCUUAAAGCUGGAAUCGAAUUGCUUGGACCUAUUGAUGAGAUCUUCUACCAUUCUUAUGACACAUACGUUCCAACCAAUAAGCAAGAAGAAGACAACUGCUUCAUCUCCGGUGUAAGUGAAUAUCAUAGUCAUAUAGUCUCAGUAAUUUUUGUUUAUUUAUUACAUGUCUUUGUUUUCUUUUUUUUGUUGAUGUUACUUUGGUUUUCUUUUCUUUUCAGACUUAUGAUGCAACAACACAUUUCGAGAGUACAGUGGUGGAUGUCCUAGAGAUGUACACCAUAUGCCUCUACGCUCAGCCUAUUUUACCUAAAGAAGCAAGUUAACAAUGAUUUGCUGGUGUGAUGGAUAUUAGAACUGCAGAUUCUUAAUUUAUUAAAAUAACAAAAAACAUUUAUAAAAAGGGUGUCUUCAAGUUUAGUUGUUCAUAACGAACAUGAUGAGCAUAUCCUAGUCUAACUUUCCACUCAUUCCAAGAGCGAACAAGCCAGCCUUGGGAUGUGACCAUCUCCUCCAUGUUCACCAGCUCAACUUUGCUGUGUUCAUCAACGGUUUUUUGGACAUGGGCAUUUGCUUUCUUUCUCUCCAGGAAAAUCUCAUUAAGUUUUGUCUUCAACCAGUGAUAUUCCGUGUUUUUAACGGUUUUAAACUCGUUUUGGAGCAAUUAAAUGGUCGGUUUUAAUUAAUGUUUUGGUCUAUUUGAUGCGUUUUGGUGUUCUUAAGUGUAAUAUGCAGGUUACUAGAUAGCUUGAAAGAAAAGAACGCAUUCGGGAUUUAUUCAGAAGCAAGAUGGACCGAACAAUCCACUUUGAAGUGGGGUUCUUAGCGGAAUAUAAGAAUCUGUCUCUUAAUUUUUAACUAAAAAAGCUAAGAACCGGUUUUUAAAUAUCUUAUUUAAGAACCGCUUCUUAGUUUUUUUAGUUAAAAAUUAAGAGAUGAGUUCUUAUAUUCCGCUAAGAACCCCACCUUGAGAAACCCUCAUUAAACAUGCUCUAAUACUAUACGUUAUAAUGACCUGUAUAGGCCAUUUACUCAUUUUGUGUUAAAAAAAAAAGACCAGACAAUACUAUUCAAGAAAAUACUCCACAAGAUUUGUAACUAAUUCAUUGUAAAUUUGAACAAAGAUUUAAAAAAAAAAAAAAAAAUUGUAACAAAGAAUGUGUGGAGAAGAGUAAUCAGUGUUGUAGAGGAUGGAUUCGACCAUCCCACAGGGCCCGAGGAAUAGGAAGGCCUGGCCCGAGUUAGGAAGAGCGACGGCUCGAUCUGUCGGCUCGAGAGUCAGGUCUCUCGGCUUGACUCUUGAGUACUUCUAGCUGACCAUCGUCGACUGAAGAGCGUUCGGCUCAGCGGUUGCUCGAACACCUACGGGCCUCUCGGCCCAGCAAAGGAGGCCCACCAAGAUGGCGUAAAAUUAGGUCAAGAGCGAAGCAUCGGGACGUCUAUAUAAGGGAAAGAAGAGGCAACGAGAAGGGGAUCCAAAAAUACUGACCAAGACUUGACGGCUAGAUUAGGGUUUUUCACCUUUACUUCGUCUCGCCGUUAAUUAUACUUCUCCGGUAGCUUGUCGAGCCACCGGUUUCCUUUCUGUCGCACUCUCCUCUUAUUUCCUUGUAACCGAUCGAACGUUUUCUCUCCGACCAUCAAUAAGACGUCUUUGUUUAAGCCCACAUCUUAUUUAUUACCGUUUCACGAUCAAACAUUUAUAAAACAUUUUUUUAUUUAUAAACACUAUUUUAUUAUUUUUUGUAUUUAUAAAAACUAUUUUGUAUUUAUAAAAAGAUGAUUUCAUAUUUAUAAAAAUAUUUAUAUUUAUUAAAACUAAUUUUGUAUUUAUAAAACAUUUUUUUAUUUAUAAAAACUAUUUUAUUAUUUUUUGUAUUUUAAAUAUGUUUUCUAUUUCAAUUUUAAUUUUAUAUUUUUGAAUUUCAAUUUAAAAAAAUAAAUUUAUAAUUUUUUUUUUGAAUUUUGGAAAUAUUCCGAGGAAGUGUAUCCCUCGGAAUAUUCCGACGACAUAUUCCUCGGAAUAUUCCGAGGAAUUUCCGACGAAAAAAGUCCUCGGAAUAUUCCGAGGAAAUGAAUUUCCUCGGAAUUUCCUCGGAAUUCCGUCGGAAAUUUCCGAGGGAUUUCCGAGGAAAGAUGAAUUUCCGAAGAGUUAUUUCCGAGGACUUUUUUCGUCGGUAUGUCGUCGGAAUAGCGUUAUUCCGACGACAUACCGACGAUUUUUUCUCUCAGUAUGCCGCUGUGUUUCUUGUAGUGAGACAUAUGUACAAAAGAAAAGUUCCAGUCAGACCAAACUAAACAAAACCUGAGCAGAUCAAAGCCUUUUCCACCAAAUAGAACAUUCUUCUAAUUAUGCUACAUCCACUAAUCUGAGAAAAAAAGUGUUGACAAUUUUACUCAGACGUCCAUAGUACCAUAGCCACCAUAAAUCCUGCAACCGGUUUUUGGAUAUGAUACAUAAGAUUACAUUUACCAAAAUACAUCAACUAGACGUACAUUGAUUCCACAAACGAACCAACACUACAUCAUUUUCAACUACUAAGCAAUGCAUAAAACCAAGGCCCAGGCAAACACAAAACAAACAAGGAAGGUCUUACUUUCACUAAGUAGCCUUGACCUUAUCAGCUGCAACAACACAAAAAGUAUUUACAGAUUUUUCAAGAACUCAUCAAGUUCCUCAAAAAACUUAAAUCCUUUUGAGAUCAUCGUCCUUUCUUAUUUUUCUUUGCAUGAUCUCUCUCUUCUUCAUCAUCAUCAGAUAUUGUAAUAAACAGCUCAUCACCAUCACCAUCAACGUCGUGAUAGUUUCUUGGAGCAGGAGCUUUAACAUUUGCUUGAUGAUCAGGGGGGCUUUGAACAGGGCAACGGAAGAGAUGUGAAACUGGCGACCAACCGGAACCAGAGGUUUUAGCAUCAACCGGAAACAUAGUCUCCGUCUUAACCGCUUCAAACGCUCUCCCACAUUGCUGACACCUCAACACGCAUUCCUCGUAACCCUCAGGGUACUCAAAAAGCGCGUAACAGUACGGACAAGCCGUCCAAAAGCUCCUAGCCUUAGGAUUCUCCGAGGUCUCAGCUUUACUCUCCUGUCGGCACUGAAACUGCUCCGAGUGGCUUUGAGGUUGACCGAGUCGGCUCAGCUGCAACUCUCGGUCGUAUAUCGAUUUUCUUGGAGGAUCAGAGAGGACGGACCAAGCUUCGGAGACGAGCUUGAGCGCUUGAUCUGCGAAAGGGAGACGGUUCGCGGUGGGGUUGAGGAGAAGAGCGAGUCUACGGUACUGAAUAGCUGUGUUCGAGGCUUUGUGUUAACCUGUCGAGACGGAGCACCGCGUACCAGUCAGGUAGUUUCGAAUCUCCGACGGUGGAGUCUCCGGCGAGGAGUGUGUCGGAGAUGGCGAUGAUGUAGUCAGCUGCAUGUGCUCGAGAAGGGUCGUCUUCGCAUGCGCUGAUGGCUAAUGCCUUUGCUCUAUGGGUAAUUUUGUCAUUUUAACUAGGCCUCCCUAAACCGGCCGGUAUACAGCAUACCAAUGAUUGUUAUUGAACUGAUCUCAAGUUUUUUUUCUUGAUUAACCAUUGUCAUUACAAAUUAGGACAAUUUUCAUAUGCCACCUGUGUUUGUCUGAAUAUAGUAAGUUUUUUUUGUUUCCUUAGCAAUUUGUAUACAUUUGAAGUUAUGAAUUAUUCCUAACAAUUCGGUUUUGAUGAUUAAUUUGGAACAUUCUCAUGGGGUCAAACGGUAAGAACGGAGGUGGUGGUAAAGACUGUAUUAACAGCCACACAUUAUCUUCUUUUUCUUUUUCUCCCCCACGCACUUUUUUUUUUUGAUCAAACUAAACUUGCAUUAAUUUUAAAUGUGUUUACACUCCAACAAAAGAGGAUACAAAAAGGCUAUUAACAGCCAAACAAACAACAACAACAACAUAAGGAAUAGAAUGACGAUACAAAUCACAAGAAGUAGCCAUAUGAAAUCGUACCACAACAACAUCAUAAGCUUCUUUAAAGACCGCAUCUAGUGUAACCCGUAGGACAACACACACUGCACCAUACGCAGAGAAGAGCAUUCGAUGGGAGGAAAAUCUUUGCAAUACCAACGAAACUUGUUCAUCCAAUUUACUCCAUAUAAGAAGAAAUAUUAGGAAAAAAGACUGAUUCAAACGAGGGACAAGCGGGAAAUUAAAACCCGCCACAUCCAUAUUCAUCGGGAUAAAGAUGACAAUGAAUUUCUCUUCUACCUGCCACCAAGAAGAGAGAUACACAAACACAACACCAACAUCCGGAAUAAAACCCAUAAGAGAACUGCAUACUGCAGACGCUCGCGCCAAGGCGAUAUAAAUGCUACUAAAGGUCACAAAGGUAGAACCAAAUGAGACUAAGCCCAUCGGUAUAUCACCAGCUAAGAUCAUGAACCUCAAUUCCAACAUCACCCAUACAGAUAGCUGUCUAAACCAUUCUACAGUAGCAGAAUAAGUAGUAAAUAAAGAGCUAAUAUGAGCAUGAAGGACCUUACAAGGACCACUGGUAGGGAGGUCGAAACACCCAAAUAGAGACCUGUAUAUCACAGGAUAAUGGAGCCCGUAAGCGAAAGAAGUGUCAUCGACACACCCAAAUAGAUACCUGUAUAGCACAGGAGAAAGGAGCCCGUAGGCGAAGGAAGUGUCGCUAGCAGACACCGGGAGACCACCACCACCACUUUUCUUUGUUGCCAUCCUAGAUGGAGGCUUUAGAGUUAAGAUAUGGGUAAGAGCUUGAGGAGAUGGUAUGAAUGGCCGAAGAACAGUGAUGAUUCCACAAACACGAACCACAAGAUUUGGAUAUAAACCUUUAGAACCAGAUCUUGUGGCACCAAAGAACACAAAAGAAACAACACCACCACUGGCCAGAUUUGGAAAUCGAGUUUCCAGAUUCUGAAUAUACGCUUGAGAGAGGGUGAAUGGUGUGUCAAAGUGCAGGUGAACAACGAGGCGGAAUGAAGCGUCGGGAGGAUCCGGUGGUUCUGUCCGGGAGAGAGCUUCGAACAGCACCGGAGAAAACAAACACGGCGGCAGAUCUGGUGGUUCGUGCGGAGUGAGAGCUUGCGCAAGAGACGACGAACACGGUUGCGGAGAGAGAGCUUCGAUCGGCACCGGAUAAGGCAGAGACGGCGGCGGAUCAGGAGGAGGGCGGGGUCGCAACGGAGGAGACGAGGGCCGGAGUGACGAAAGACGGGACACCAUCACUAUCGGAGCCAUGGGAGAGCUGUUUCAGAGUGUUGGAGGCUGGAGAACUGGAUUGAAUCUGAAAAGGAAAUCCAUGGAGGAGGCC